ACACGUAGGGGCCUGACGUUGUUCGGAAUCAUUGGGCGUAAAGGGCGCGCAGGCGGCCGUCCAAGUCCGGUGUUAAAUGGUCGGGCUCAACCCGAUCAUGCGCUGGAAACUGGGCGGCUGGAGUCCCGGAGGGGAUGCCGGAAUUCCAGGUGUAGGGGUGAAAUCGGUAGAUAUCUGGAAGAACACCGAUGGCGAAGGCAGGCAUCUGGCCGGAGACUGACGCUGAGGCGCGAAGGCGCGGGGAGCGAACAGGUUUAGAUACCCUGGUAGUCCGCGCAGUAAACGAUGCGCACCAGGUGUCGGGCGGCAGCGCCCGGUACCGGAGCAAACGCGAUGAGUGCGCCGCCUGGGGAGUAUGCCCGCAAGGGUGAAACUCAAAUGAAUUGACGGGG
rnacentral:rRNA from 1 species